GACGAACGCUGGCGGCGUGCCUAAUACAUGCAAGUCGAGCGAACUGAAGGGAGCUUGCUCCCGGACGUUAGCGGCGGACGGGUGAGUAACACGUGGGUAACCUGCCUGUAAGACUGGGAUAACUCCGGGAAACCGGAGCUAAUACCGGAUAUUUUCUUGAACCGCAUGGUUCAAAAUGAAAGACGGUUUCGGCUGUCACUUAUAGAUGGGCCCGCGGCGCAUUAGCUAGUUGGUGAGGUAACGGCUCACCAAGGCCACGAUGCGUAGCCGACCUGAGAGGGUGAUCGGCCACACUGGGACUGAGACACGGCCCAGACUCCUACGGGUGGCAG
rnacentral:rRNA from 1 species